AACCAUAGAAACCUGCGGAGUACCUGCGGAAGGAUCAUUACCGAGUGAGGGCCCUCCGGGUCCAACCUCCCACCCGUGUUUAACGAACCUUGUUGCUUCGGCGGGCCCGCCUCACGGCCGCCGGGGGGCACCCCGCCCCCGGGCCCGCGCCCGCCGAAGACACCUGUGAACGCUGUCUGAAGUUGCAGUCUGAGACACUAGCUCAAUCAGUUAAAACUUUCAGCAACGGAUCUCAGAUCG
rnacentral:misc_RNA from 1 species